ACUGGUGGAACAACCUCCAAUCAAACCAAAGUUGUUCACCUGGAGAAUUCUUGGUGGAGAACCGAGUUGGUAAUGUCUGUUUAUCUGCAGAGUAAUCUGGAAAAGCAGCAGAACCAUCAGAACUAGGUGAUUGGUGAUAGGAAGAGGAGACUUGAAUGGAUUCUUCACAAAAGGAACAAAGAAGCAACAACCGACAGAGACCUCGGCACUCUUCCGAUGAUGACAAUGCUAACCUCACACAAGCAAAGAGAGAGAAAUCAUUCACUUGUGGUCUUCGUGCAAAGAGCUUUAUCACAAGGAGGCAGCUCGGGAGACACCAAUGUUUCCACAAUAAGAAAAGAUGCUUCUCUUGUGUUGACUGUGGAAAAUCUUUUACUACAAAGAGUAACUUGACGAGGCAUAAGCUCAUCCACACUGGGGUUAAACCAUUCAGCUGUGACCAGUGUGGAAAGUGUUUUACUCGGCAAAGUGCCUUAAAAUCACACCAACUCAUCCAUGCAGGAAUUAAACCAUUCAGCUGUGGUCAGUGUGGAAAGUGUUUUACUCGGCAAAGUGCCUUAAAAUCACACCAACUCAUCCAUGCAGGAAUUAAACCAUU